GUCACAUCCAUGCUGAGGUUUUAAGAGAAGCAAACCAGGAGUGCUUUGAUGGAAUGACAACUCACUUUUGGAAGUGGACAGACUAGAAGGGAGGUGAACUUGGCUGAGUCAGCUCUCUGCCACCAAGGCAACCCUGAACUGACAGCUACCUGUCGAUGGCUCUCCCAGGAGGUGAGGAUGCAAAUCCUUUUUUAAAAGGGGAUCUGAGCAUUGGAGAGUCCACCAAACAUGGGAUGAAGAAAUGCUAAAAUGAAAAGCGGAAUUACAAGAAAGAUGUAUCUGUGUCUUUCAUUCCUGGAACACUGGGGGAAUGUAAAAGAAGGUGCAUUAAUGGAAGAGCAUCAUCCCAGAUUCUUGCACUUCUCCAUAGAUGCAUCUAAUCCAGCCUGGUAUGUGAU